CGUACACUCCUACGGGAGGCAGCAGUGGGGAAUAUUGGACAAUGGGCGCAAGCCUGAUCCAGCCAUGCCGCGUGAGUGAUGAAGGCCCUAGGGUUGUAAAGCUCUUUCACCGGUGAAGAUAAUGACGGUAACCGGAGAAGAAGCCCCGGCUAACUUCGUGCCAGCAGCCGCGGUAAUACGAAGGGGGCUAGCGUUGUUCGGAUUUACUGGGCGUAAAGCGCACGUAGGCGGACUAUUAAGUCAGGGGUGAAAUCCCGGGGCUCAACCCCGGAACUGCCUUUGAUACUGGUAGUCUUGAGUUCGGGAGAGGUGAGUGGAAUUCCGAGUGUAGAGGUGAAAUUCGUAGAUAUUCGGAGGAACACCAGUGGCGAAGGCGGCUCACUGGCUCGAUACUGACGCUGAGGUGCGAAAGCGUGGGGAGCAAACAGGAUUAGAUACCCGUGUAGUCCC
rnacentral:rRNA from 1 species